GGUGGCUCAGGGGUUUAAGCACUUGACUUAUAAUCAGCAGGUCCUGGGUUCGAAUCCCAUGUACCA
rnacentral:tRNA from 1 species